AUGAAGUUCAACAGGGACAAAUGCAAGAUACUUCACUUCGGCAGAAAAAAUGGAAAUCAAAGAUACAGAAUGGGGGACGCCUGGCUUGACAGCAGUGUGUGCGAAAAAGAUCUUGGAGUCCUCGUGGACAACAAGUUAAACAUGAGCCUACAAUGUGAUGCGGCAGCUAAAAAAGCCAAUGGGAUUUUGGCCUGCAUCAAUAGGGGAAUAACGUCUAGAUCCAGGGAAGUCAUGCUCCCCCUCUAUUCUGCCUUGGUCAGACCACACCUGGAAUACUGUGUCCAAUUUUGGGCACCACAGAUGAAGGGAGAUGCUGACAAGCUGGAAAGCGUCCAGAGGAGGGCAACUAAAAUGAUUAAGGGUCUGGAGAACAAGCCCUAUGAGGAGAGGCUUAAAGAGCUGGGCAUGUUUAGCCUGCAGAAGAGAAGGCUGAGAGGAGACAUGAUAGCCAUGUACAAAUAUGUGAGGGGAAGUCAUAGGGAGGAGGGAGCAAGCUUAUUUUCUGCUGCCCUGCAGACUAGGACACGGAACAAUGGCUUCAAACUACAGGAAAGGAGAUUCCACCUGAACAUCAGGACGAACAGCCCUCACAGUCAGGAAGUUCUUCCUGAUGUUCAGGUGGAAUCUCCUUUCCUGUAGUUUGAAGCCAUUGUUCCGUGUCCUAGUCUGCAGGGCAGCAGAAAACAAGCUUGCUCCCUCCUCCCUAUUACUUCCCCUCACAUAUUUGUACAUGGCUAUCAUGUCUCCUCUCAGCCUUCUCUUCUGCAGGCUAAACAUGCCCAAUUCUUUGAGCCUCUCCUCAUAGGGCUUGUUCUCCAGACCUUUGAUCAUUUUAGUUGCCCUCCUCUGGACGCUUUCCAGCUUGUCAACAUCUCCCUUCAACUGUGGUGCCCAGAAUUGGACACAGUAUUCCAGGUGUGGUCUGACCAAGGCAGAAUAGAGGGGGAGCAUGACUUCCCUGGAUCUAGACACUAUACCCCUAUUGAUGCAGGCCAAAAUCCCAUUGGCUUUCUUAGCAGCCACAUCACAUUGCUGGCUCAUGUUUAACUUGUUGUCCACAAGGACUCCAAGA
rnacentral:lncRNA from 1 species